AUUGUCGGUCCCAAGCCCGGCUAAAGGAGGAGGGAGAAUGGGCAUAAAGGUGAGUCGUUUACUUUUCCUUCAUUUUCUGAGAGGGAUUUUUAAAAUGCUUGAUGGUUAAUUUAAAUAGUUUUUUGGCUUCUUCUACUAUCAUUUGAGGACCUCAAAGGCCUAACUAACUUGAGAUUUUUAUAUGUAGACUGAUGUAUUUUUAGCCCCACAAAUCAAUGUUGCCACUACAAGGUUCAAUAUUGAAAUGUGAUUAUCAGAAGCAGUGGGCCAUCAUUGAAAGAUUACCCUUGUAAUUGCAUUGUGGAAUAUGCAUCCAUUAUUCAAAGAAAGGGCGACAUUCCAAGCACUCACACUUUCUCUCAUUGCUUGCUAAAUUGGCUGACAAGCUAAAGAAGUCAGUGGAGGAUGAAAUUCAUUUUCUCAAGGGAAGGGUUUCAGAACUUGAAAGUGAUCUUGUGUCGAAGUCCACAGAAGUUACAUCUGCAGUUUCAAGGAAAGAAGAAGCUCUAUCUUCUGCAUUUGCUAAAAUUGACCGUCUGAAGGAAGAAAAUUCUGUAAAAAUGUAAGCAUUAUUGAAUGCAUAUGGAGGGUGUUUACUGUGUUGGAGUGUAUUUGUUUCUUACACAUGAGGGCACGCCUUAGUUGUAAUUCUUAUGAUAGGUUGAGCAAAGUGAAGUAUUGUUUAUUUAGAAAUGUGAAUGUAGGAUGCAUUGUAUGAUUUGAUUGCUAUUUGUAAUAAAUGCAUCAUUUUUUUUCUAA